UUUUCUUCAGAGUGACUGUCCAUAAUUAAAGUGUAAAAUCUACAACAAAGAAAUGAUGAAUAAAUCACACGAGUGCAACACGAUCGAUCAGUUAGCAAAAAUGCGUCCACUCGGCGAACGACUAUUCUCAUGUUUUUUGAACGUUUACUAUUAGCAUUUGUAACGCCUCUGGUGAAGACUUGUGUCAAUUUCGGUCUGCUCUCCCCUACUACAGACCAAUAGCAGCUAAUGGCUAGCAAUUCAUCUGCGUCAACUUACCAAUUAUAUCUGCAGCCACAUUUCAUCAGGAAUGCUUGGUAUUUUUAUUUCGCAUGAAAGAGAAACCCCUCGAAGCGGCGUCGCAAUGGAUUCCAGAAAGACCUCGAUUGCGAAACAUCGAGAACGGAAUAUAGGUUUAAAUGGAGGCCACCUUUGGGAACGAGAUUAUUCACUCAUCAAGUCGAGUCCAGUGAGUGUCGAGAAAAUCCAGACAAGUUGUGCCGGAAUUCUUUUGUACAUAAUCGCUGAUAGUUAGUUGUGUAAAUUGGAGUUAUUAAAAAUUAAAACUGUUAAUAAAA